AUCUCUUCCCAGACAGGAGGCUCUUGGAGAACUCAGACCACCUUCCUGAGUGAGUUCAACUUGGGACUGAGGAAGAACACCUGCAGGACUUAUACGCACCUCCUCAUAUUUGUAGAGCAUCAUGGUGAACUUGGAGAGGGGAUCUGCAAAGCUUUUGGAAAUACUAUUUUACACUUGGGAACACGUGGGAGUUUCUACCGACUUCCAUCUUGCCCACCCUACUUCCUCCUAAGUAAGGUUACAGGAAUAAGUAAGGCUGACUACAGUCUAAUGCGCCUAUAUCUCCUGUUACUUCAGGGGCAGAGGCAGGAAGCUGGCUGAGCUUCCCCUCUCUGCUGCUCAAGUCCUGGCUGCUUUCUUUAUAAACUGGAUUGCUCUGGUAACCCUAAUGACUGGAAGCUGACCACCCUUGUGUGAGGCCUGACCUACCCUGCAAGCAGCCAUUACAGCCCAGGUGGUUUCUUCCUAUUGCUCAACAGUACUGCUUGGGCCAUUUCUUCACCAGGAUUUGAGAUCCACUUAGAAAGGCAUCCCACAACAGGCAGAAGGACAGAGAGAAAAGCAGAGAGAAGAAGGAAGCACGGUGUGAGACAGUUUCCUGGAAGAAAAGAAUGUAUUUGUAGAUGAAGGGGACUCACGGAGCCACUGCAGAAUUGUCCACAGGUCACAUGACCCUGACCAACAGAGAAUCUUAAAAACUUCCACUGACUCAAAACAGUGUAAGAGGUGGUAGGGGAGGAGAGCAAGAGAAGGAGGAUCAAGGCUUUGAGUAGAGACUGGCAUCAGCUUCUGCUGUAAGUGAUAGAGGACAAUAAACGUAUCCAUCUUCAACAACA